rnacentral:rRNA from 1 species
UACGUAGGGGGCAAGCGUUGUCCGGAAUUAUUGGGCGUAAAGAGCGUGUAGGCGGCUUUACAGGUCCGUUGUGAAAACUCGAGGCUCAACCUCGAGACGCCGGUGGAAACCGUAAGGCUAGAGUCCGGAAGAGGAGAGUGGAAUUCCUGGUGUAGCGGUGAAAUGCGCAGAUAUCAGGAGGAACACCCGUGGCGAAAGCGGCUCUCUGGGACGGUAUUGACGCUGAGACGCGAAAGCGUGGGGAGCAAACAGG